rnacentral:sRNA from 1 species
CAUGGGAAAUAUAACGUCACACAUGUACCGACACUGUUUUCUGGGUGCCUUUUUCUGUAUGGAAAGGGUUGGAGGCAGGGGUAUAUGGAGGCUUAAC